rnacentral:lncRNA from 1 species
AAGAUCAAUAAAACUGAUAAACCUUUAGCCAGACUUAUUAGGAAAAAAAAAGAAGACGGAAAUUGCUGACAGGAGAAUUGAGAGAAGUGGCAUGACUGUUCAGUCCCCAGAUGCUGAAAAUAUAAAAACGAGGAUGUUGUGAAGAACUUUAUGCCGACAAAUUCAACAACUCAAAUGAACAAAUUCCUUGAAAGACAUAAAUUACCAAAGCUUACUCAAGAAGAAUUAGAUAACCUUGUAGCCCUUUAUCUAUAAAAGAAAUUGAAUUUGUAAUUUAAAAAAAACUCUUUCACAAAGAAAACUCUGGGCCAAAUGGCUUCAGAGGUGAAUUAUAUCAAGUAUUAAAGAAGAAAUAAUACCAACUCUACACAACUCUUCCAUGAAAUUGGAAAGGAAGAAAUAUUUUCCAAUUUAUUCUAUGAGGUCAGCAAUGCCUUAAUACUAAAACUGGACAAAGACAUUACAAGCAAAGAAGACAGACCAAUAUCCUCAUGAACCUAGAAAAAUUCUAAACAAAAUUUUAGCAAAUUGAAUCCAGCAAUACGCCAAAAAGAAUAUCAUGGUAAAGCAGAGUUUAUCUCAGGAAUGCAAAAUAGGUUUAACACUCAAAAAUCAAUCAAUGAUCAAUAUAAUCCACUAUAUUGCUAAACUAUAAAGAAAAACCAUAUGAUCAUCUUAAUAGAUGCAGAAAAGGCAUCAGAAAAAAUCUAACAUAUCUUCCUGGAAAGGCUCUCAAUAAAGUAGGAAUUAAAGGGAACAUCCUCAAUAUUAUAAAGGGCAUAUACAAAAAACCAUACAGCUAAUAUCACACUUAAUGGUGUAAUAUUCAAGACUGAAUAUUUAUUACUUAAACCUGAAUUUCCCUCCCUAGAAUAAGACAGAAAUAAGACAAGGAUGUCUGCUCUCACCACUUCUAUUCAAUAUUGCACCAGAAUUCCUAGCCAGUGGAAUAAGUUAAGUAAAAUAAAUAAAAGACCAGAUUGUAAAAGAAGAAGUAAAGUUUUGUUUAUUUACAUAUGACAUGAUUGUCAACUAGAAAAUCCAAUGAAGUGUACAAAAAUGCUGUAAUAAGUGAGUUGAUCAAGGUGUAGAAUACAAGAUCGUUCUACAAAGAUGAGUUGCAUUUCUCUAUGCUAAAAUGAAUAAUCAGAAAAUGAUAUUUGAAAAAAGAUACCAUUUACAACAGUAUCAAAAUAUAUGAAAUACUAAGAAACUACAGAAAAUAACUGAGUUGGCAUCUUUUUAGAAAUCCAAAAUACUUGGGCAUAAAAUCUUAUGUAUUAUUGUGAAAUUUCAGAAGCACAAAAAUAAAAAUCCUGAAAAUUUCCACGGGAGUAAACAGAUCACCUAUAAAGAACUAAGAAUCAGACUGACAAGAGCCUUCUCAAUGGUCAAAACAUAAUGAAGUUAGAGGAAAAGGUUAGGAUAAUAAUAUUAAUUAAAUUCUCAUCUGACAUAGCAAAAAUUUGAUAGAUAUUGGUUUAAGGUGGCAAACUACUAAAUAAAGGUGUAAGCAUAUUAUUUAUAAAUGUGGAGCUAACCACCAGAAGGCCUAUCAAUAGAAUGGGUUAAAACUGGCUGCCUUUGGAAGUACGAUGAGAGAAGAAAAAGAUGGGGUAGGAAAUAAAUUUAAUAGGGAAUCAUUUAAUAACCCUAUUGGUAUUACUUGAUUGUUUUUAACUAUAUGUAUGAUCUCAAUGUGUUUUAAAAACACCUCAGUGGGUGCAUGGUGACAUCAGAGCCCAGAACAAAUUAAAUGGAUCCUUGAGUAACAUGGCUGCACUUUACAUAUGGCCAUGAACGUCUAUAUUACAGCUAGUAGCCGGCUGUUUUCUUCCCAAUAUAAGCUUCAAUUCGACUGAAUUUAUUGUGCUCUCUCCCUCCUGCCCCCCACCUCGCCCUGUCUCUCUCUGUCUCUCAUGGUGACAAAGAGCCUUGUUGCUCUUUGACUCUGACGGAACAAUGCUUAUGUGUGAAGCCAAAUGGUGUGGGGACAAGGUAGUCGGGCAAAGUAUGUGCUCUGGAUACACAGAUGAUGACCUCACACCAACAAGAACAUGCAGACACCCAAAAUUCUGUAUGAUUGAUUCAUUCUAAGUUGAUGCAAGAUUUUAAUCGAAAACUGCCUUAUUUUGCAGAAGAUUAACAAAGAGGAUGCGGUGCAGAAGUGAGUCCCUCAGCAGGAGAAGCUUCUCUCACACCAACCCAUUUAUGGCUGGGGGAAAAUACCCCGUUAGUUCAAGGAUAGCAAAUAAAUAGAUGGUGUGCAGCCUGGUACAGAUGGUAGAACAAGGACUACAUCCUUCACAAAAGGGAUGUGCCAACAAAAACAGCCUGCCCUCAACAGCAAGCUGACCCAACGCCCUGCUCGCUGACUCCUUUAUGCCGGCACCGGCACCGAGUGCCACGCUGCGUUUGCAAGCUAUUGUUCAGCAGGCAGAUUUUCUGCUGGGGGUUAACAGGUGAGAGCAGUGAUCCAAGAGCAAAAUAGAGAGGAUGCUUUUAGUUAAGCUGCCAAUGCUUAGCAAACACUUCUGAAAAUAUCACAGCUCAAUAUUGCAUCAUUCAUGAAUGGAAGAGCUGCAGGGUGGGGGGUGCUUGUUUCAAAAUGAUUUACCAAAGUAAGGAGAGAGUGCAGAAAUGCAGAAAUAAAAUAAUGUGGCUCA